AGAGUUUGAUCAUGGCUCAGGAUGAACGCUAGCGGCAGGCUUAACACAUGCAAGUCGAGGGGUAUAGUUCUUCGGAACUAGAGACCGGCGCACGGGUGCGUAACGCGUAUGCAAUCUACCUUUCACAAAGGGAUAGCCCAGAGAAAUUUGGAUUAAUACCUUAUAGUAUAGCGAGUUCGCAUGGAUUUGCUAUUAAAGAUUUAUCGGUGAAAGAUGAGCAUGCGUCCCAUUAGCUAGUUGGUAAGGUAACGGCUUACCAAGGCUACGAUGGGUAGGGGUCCUGAGAGGGAGAUCCCCCACACUGGUACUGAGACACGGACCAGACUCCUACGGGAGGCAGCAGUGAGGAAUAUUGGUCAAUGGGCGCAAGCCUGAACCAGCCAUGCCGCGUGCAGGAUGACGGUCCUAUGGAUUGUAAACUGCUUUUGUACAGGAAGAAACACCCCGACGUGUCGGGACUUGACGGUACUGUAAGAAUAAGGAUCGGCUAACUCCGUGCCAGCAGCCGCGGUAAUACGGAGGAUCCAAGCGUUAUCCGGAAUCAUUGGGUUUAAAGGGUCCGUAGGCGGCUUAAUAAGUCAGUGGUGAAAUCCCUACGCUUAACGUAGGAACGGCCAUUGAUACUGUUAGGCUUGAAUUAUUAGGAAGUAACUAGAAUAUGUAGUGUAGCGGUGAAAUGCUUAGAGAUUACAUGGAAUACCAAUUGCGAAGGCAGGUUACUACUAAUGGAUUGACGCUGAUGGACGAAAGCGUGGGUAGCGAACAGGAUUAGAUACCCUGGUAGUCCACGCCGUAAACGAUGGAUACUAGCUGUUGGAAGCAAUUUCAGUGGCUAAGCGAAAGUGAUAAGUAUCCCACCUG
rnacentral:rRNA from 1 species